ACUCAAAGGAAUAGACGGGGGCCCGCACAAGCAGCGGAGCGUGUGGUUUAAUUCGAUGCUACACGAAGAACCUUACCAGGGUUUGACAUGUCAGUGGUAGAGAAGCGAAAGCGGAUCGACCCUUCGGGGAGCUGGCACAGGUGCUGCAUGGCUGUCGUCAGCUCGUGUCGUGAGAUGUUCGGUUAAGUCCGCUAACGAGCGCAACCCACGCCGUGUGUUACAAGUGUCACACGGGACUGCCGGUCUUAAGCCGGAGGAAGGUGUGGAUGACGUCAAGUCAGCAUGGCCUUUAUGUCCUGGGCUACACACACGCUACAAUGGCCAGUACAACAGGUAGCGAAGUCGCGAGGCGAAGCCAAUCCUGAAAGCUGGUCUCAGUUCAGAUUGUAGGCUGCAACCCGCCUGCAUGAAGAUGGAGUUGCUAGUAACCGCAGGUCAGCUAUACUGCGGUGAAUACGUUCCCGGGCCUUGUACACACCGCCCGU
rnacentral:rRNA from 1 species